GUCAAGCAAAACACUGAUGGUGAUCAAACUAUUAAGGAAGCUUAUUUACAGUGAUGGUGUUGAGGGGCAUUUAGAGCAUUACUUGCUGGUUUUUAUGCAAACUACAUCAUAAUCUUUGGAAGACGAAAGUAUCAGCACAGAAUAAAACUUCCACAUAUUGGCUGCAAAAAUCUUGGCUAGUACUAGAUGGCAACAAAGAGCCUCAGAAAACUCUAAGUCUUUGCUGUGAUGAGCAAAUGUGAUUUUUACAUCCAGAUAAGGUGCUUUCCAAAAUGUCCUUUCUUUCUAUUUCCUUCUACAUUAAAUGUAUAUACCAGCACAUCUGUUUACUGUGCUGAUGUUUCAAC